CCUACGGGGGGCAGCAGUGAGGAAUAUUGGUCAAUGGUCGAGAGGCUGAACCAGCCAAGUCGCGUGAGGGAAGACGGCCCUACGGGUUGUAAACCUCUUUUGUCGGGGAGCAAAGCGAACCACGUGUGGUUCAUUGAGAGUAACCGAAGAAAAAGCAUCGGCUAACUCCGUGCAAGCAGCCGCGGUCAUACGGAGGAUGCGAGCGUUAUCCGGAUUUAUUGGGUUUAAGGGGUGCGCAGGCGGAGGUGCAAGUCAGCGGUCAAAUUGCGGGGCUCAACCCCGUACUGCCGUUGAAACUGCAUCCCUUGAGUGCGCGAGAAGUAUGCGGAAUGCGUGGUGUAGCGGUGAAAUGCAUAGAUAUCACGCAGAACUCCGAUUGCGAAGGCAGCAUACCGGCGCGCAACUGACGCUCAUGCACGAAAGCGUGGGUAUCGAACAGGAUUAGAUACCCGGGUAGUC
rnacentral:rRNA from 1 species